GUUGAUCUGAAGAUUGAGCCUGACCCUGAAAUAAUCAAUUUUCUGGCACAACAGAGACAGAAACUAAAGAACAAUGCAGAAGUUGCUCCAGAAGCAGAGCAGGGGAAUAUUGUUAUAGAUGGUAAGCCAGCACAGGAAACUGAAGGGAAAGGGAAGGAACUGAAAAAGACAAGAACUGAAUUGAUGAAUGAUAAGGUUACUGAUUAUAUUAGUCGCACUAAGCUUAAGAUGAAGAAUUUGUCAAGUUUUAGUGGUGGAAACAGUGCAUCUUUUAAGUAAAUGACAAGCAAGAACUGCAGCUUAUAUGAAUAAACAGAGGAUUUGUUGUUUGGUAUGUCAGGAUUCUUGAGUGAACUAUGGAUUGUUUCUUCUUCUUCUUUUUUUUGUUUCUAAAUAAAAGUGUGCAAUUUCAAAUUUGAUAUUUAUAACUUGUAUUCUCCAUGAA